rnacentral:rRNA from 1 species
AUUGAACGCUGGCGGCAGGCCUAACACAUGCAAGUCGAACGGCAGCGGGGGGUAGCUUGCUACCCCGCCGGCGAGUGGCGGACGGGUGAGUAAUGCCUGGGGAGCUGCCCAAUCGAGGGGGAUACCAGUUGGAAACGACUGCUAAUACCGCAUACGCACUGAGGGGGAAAGGUGGGGAUCUUCGGACCUACCGCGAUUGGAUGCACCCAGGUGGGAUUAGCUAGUUGGUGAGGUAACGGCUCACCAAGGCGACGAUCCCUAGCUGGUCUGAGAGGAUGACCAGCCACACUGGAACUGAGACACGGUCCAGACUCCUACGGGAGGCAGCAGUGGGGAAUAUUGCACAAUGGGGGAAACCCUGAUGCAGCCAUGCCGCGUGUGUGAAGAAGGCCUUCGGGUUGUAAAGCACUUUCAGCGAGGAGGAAAGGUUGGCAGCUAAUACCUGUCAGCUGUGACGUUACUCGCAGAAGAAGCACCGGCUAACUCCGUGCCAGCCGCCGCGGUAA